rnacentral:rRNA from 1 species
UACGUAGGGGGCAAGCGUUGUCCGGAAUCAUUGGGCGUAAAGAGCGUGUAGGCGGUCCGGUAAGUCGGCUGUGAAAGUCCAGGGCUCAACCCUGGGAUGCCGGUCGAUACUGCCGGACUAGAGUUCGGAAGGGCGAGUGGAAUUCCCGGUGUAGCGGUGAAAUGCGCAGAUAUCGGGAGGAACACCUAUGGCGAAGGCAGCUCGCUGGGACGUUACUGACGCUGAGACGCGAAAGCGUGGGGAGCAAACAGG